AUACGGAGGGUGCAAGCGUUACUCGGAUUUACUGGGCGUAAAGAGCACGUAGGCGGUUUGAUAAGUCUGAUGUGAAAGCCCAUGACUCAAUCAUGGAAGUGCAUUGGAUACUGUCAGACUAGAGUACAGGAGAGGUGAGCGGAAUUCCAGGUGUAGAGGUGAAAUUCGUAGAUAUCUGGAGGAACAACGGCGGCGAAGGCGGCUCACUGGACUGUAACUGACGCUGAGGUGCGAAAGCGUGGGGAGCGAACGGGAUUAGAUACCCCCGGUAGUCCACGCUGUAAACUAUGGAUAC
rnacentral:rRNA from 1 species